CCUACGGGAGGCAGCAGUCGAGAAUCAUUCACAAUGGGGGAAACCCUGAUGGUGCGACGCCGCGUGGGGGAAUGAGGGUCUUCGGAUUGUAAACCCCUGUCAUGUGGGAGCAAAUUAAAAAGAUAGUACCACAAGAGGAAGAGACGGCUAACUCUGUGCCAGCAGCCGCGGUAAUACAGAGGGCUCAAGCGUUGUUCGGAAGCACUGGGCGUAAAGGGUGCGUAGGCGGUUUCGUAAGUCGUGUGUGAAAGGCGCGGGCUCAACCCGCGGACGGCAGAUGAUACUGGGAGACUAGAGUAAUGGAGGGGGAAGCGGAAUUCUCGGUGUAGCAGUGAAAUGCGUAGAUAUCGAGAGGAACACUCGUGGCGAAGGCGGGUUCCUGGACAUUAACUGACGCUGAGGCACGAAGGCCAGGGGAGCGAAAGGGAUUAGAUACCCUGGUAGUC
rnacentral:rRNA from 1 species